rnacentral:tRNA from 1 species
CGUGCGGAAGCCAAAGAAGCCGAGGCAGCGGCCUGCAAAGCCGCCCCUAGCCGGUGCGAGCCCGGCCCGCACGUCCA